GACACGUACUACACUAACAGUCUGAGCCCAAGCACGGCAUAUCAGCUGUACCGAAGAGAGGAGCGCUGACCUAAUUUGCGGAGCAGGGGACGGCAGCAGACGAGGCUACGCACCGCAACGGCCAGCUGAAGUGAAAGUCUACCAUUUUCUGUUUCUGACGCUGCCUGAAAGAGCAAUAAAAACUUCAUUUUCCUCCCCUGUGGCAGCCGGAGGAAGCUGUGUGUGGGACAGAGAAAAGCUUCAUCAGCCUGUCUGCGGAGAAGCCGACGCAGAGCUGACUGCUCCUGCUGAGAGAAGAAGACGAGGAAGAAACAAGUCAAAGGGAGAGAAUUUGCCAGAUGUAAGAAGAGGAGAGAGGGGGUGGCGGUGGCGGUCACAGAGAUCAUUGUUCUGCAACAAGCCCCUCACGGGAGAGCGGGCUAUUGAAAAAUCAGUAAUGACUGAGCUGUCAUCGGCCCAGGUGACCGUGUGCACCUGAGCGUUACUGCUGCAGCACACUGAAAGUCACCACGAGCCUCUGGGCAGGUGCUGCAUGGUUUUUAAAAAAAUCCACGCUGUUCUGGCUGCAGGAUCUUAACUGAAUCCUGCGCAUUUUCCGGACUGGAUCACUUUUACCUGGAGCCCCCCACCUUCCCUUUGGCCGGUCACCUGGGAGAGAAAAAUAAGCCCGGGCAGGAUAAGGAGCAGUUUGUGGCUUUUUUGGACUGACUGAGCCACUGGUUAUAGCAAAGAAGGAGAGCAUCCAUGUGCAGGAAUGCAGCUUUGCAUAUGGAGGCAGACCAGUGAUACAGCCUAGUGUUGAGGCAGCUGAGCCCGUGAAGGCCUCUGAGGCGGCCAUGUUGGAUCUCUUCGUCAGAGUGCUGGUGUCGUCCCGUCUUCACCUGUCACCUCACAGCACCUUGCUGCCAACCUAAGUCCUCGCUACUCUCUUCCUGAACCUCUUUCUUCCACUGCUGGGCCGGGAGAAAGGUCCUUGUGGAAAAUGUCCUAUGCACACCACAAGCCACUCACCUGGUGCUUACCUCACCUCCUCCUCCUACCGCUGACCUACCUCUGGCUCUUGGCUCUAACCACAGGUGCGUCAGCAAAUCUCUGCCGGGUCACCGGUGGAGUUCUGGGGAUCCACUGGAGCAGUGUCAUCAGCCUGGGUUGGUACCCUCUGGCGGAUGGGAGAGCUGGAGCAACGUGUUGGGAGUCCUGCUGCCUGGAGCCGAACUGCAAUGCUGUUUGGAGCCUCGGCGGGCGCUGUGUGCUGCUUAGCUGCUCGCGCGAAGGAGGCUGCGCCAUCUCCAUCCUGCCUCAGCCUCACGAGGAGUCCCUCGGUCUCCUUCAGCUGCUCUCCAAGGUCCCUGUCAGUGUGAAGCGUCGAGAGAUUCGCCGUGCGCUGCAAACAGGAAGCCACAGAAGGCACACAGGACACCAUAUCAGCACGGUAAGCUCCGACCAGGAUCCAGCUCAGCCAACAGCAGCACCUGGCAACAACUCUCUCCUCCAAAUCACCCAAAAGAACAUCAGCCAGAUCACCAACGGGAGCUCAGACGCGGCUCCUGCUCCAAAGCCGCAGAACUCAACAGUCGACGGCACCGUCGAUGCUACCGCGUCUUCCAAUGGCAGCGAUGUCAGCACGCCCACAGCAGCUUCAGCAGUUAUCAACACCACCCCGACACAGGCCGUGAGGGAGCUGGUGGUGUCGGCAGGAGAGAGUGUGGAGGUAACGCUGCCCCGCAGUGAGGUUGAACUCAACGCCUAUGUGGUCCCAACGCCCCCGCAAGGGACAAACUAUGCAUUUGACUGGCGUCUGAUAACUCAUCCCAAAGAUUACAGCGGGGAGAUGGAGGGGAAGCACAGCAAGACACUGAAACUCAGCAAGCUGACCGUGGGCCUGUACGAGUUUGAGGUGACUGUGGACGGGGAGGGCGCCCACGGAGAAGGUUACGUUAAUGUUACAGUCAAACCAGAGCCACGGGUAAACAAGCCUCCUGUUGCCGUAGUUUCCCCGAAGUUCCAGGAGAUCUCCUUGCCAACCAGCUCUACGGUGAUCGACGGCAGCCAGAGCACUGAUGAUGAUAAAGUGGUGGCGUGGCACUGGGAAGAGGUCAAAGGUCCUCUAAGGGAAGAGAAGGUCUCUACUGACACCCCUGUACUCACCCUCACCAGCCUUGUGCCUGGGAACUACACAUUUAGUUUGACAGUAACCGACUCAGAUGGAGCCACAGACUCGACACAGGCCACCCUCUCUGUCAACAAAGCCAAGGACUACCGCCCCGUGGCCAACGCCGGCCCAAACCAGGUCAUCCAGUUACCACGUAACCACAUCACUCUGUAUGGGAACCAAAGCACCGACGACCAUGAUUCCCUGUCCUACGAGUGGUCCCUCAGCCCAGAGAGCAAAGACAAAGUGGUGGAGAUGCAGGGUGUGCGGACACCUAUCCUGCAGCUGUCUGCGAUGCAAGAGGGAGACUACACCUUCCAGCUGACCGUGACUGACUCAGCCGGACAGCAGGACACCGCCCAGGUCACAGUCAUUGUGCAGCCAGAAAAUAAUAAACCACCAGUAGCGGAUGCAGGACCGGAGAAAGAGCUGACGCUGCCGAUGGAUCACACUACACUGGAUGGCAGUAAGAGCAGUGAUGACCAGAAGAUAGCCACCUACCACUGGACAAAGACCAGCGGUCCCGAUGGCGUGAAAAUUGAAAAUGCAGACAGCGCCGUUGCCACGGUGACAGGUCUCGAGGUCGGCACAUACGAGUUCACCCUGACAGUAACCGAUGAGAGGAAGCUGGAGAGUCACGACACUGUCAAGGUCAUCGUUAAGGAAGAAAAGGACCAGCUGCCAGUGGCGCGUGUUGUGUCGAGUCCACCCAUCUCUCUGCCUGUCAGAACCGCCACUUUGGAUGGAUCUCAAUCCACCGAUGACAAAGGUGGACUCAGCUACCUGUGGACCAGAGAAGAUGGCAGUCCUGCUGCUGGGGACGUGCUGAACAACUCUGACCACCAGGCAGUGCUGUUUCUGGGAAACCUGGUGGAGGGGAAGUACAGCUUCAUCCUGACGGUGAUUGACAGCAAAGGACAAAGCAACAAGGCCAGGGGCACAGUGGAGGUCAAACCAGACAUGUGGGAACGCGACCUGGUGGAGCUGGUCUUGGAGGUCUCUGUAUCGCAGGUAUCCCAGCGUCAGCGCGACAUGCUGCUGCGACAGGUCGGGGUUUUACUGGGCGUGCUCGACAGCGACAUCAUUGUGCGAGAGAUCAGUGCAUUUAAUGAGCACAGCACUCGUUUGGUCUUCCUGGUGUCAGGCAGUCCGGGGCGCCCUCCACUGUCUGGCCGCAAUGUUGCACUUGGCCUUCGCAACAAACUGUGCAAACAGAAGAAUGACUUCCUCAUCUUCAAGGCCCGCCGAGUGGAUACAGUCAUCUGCCAGCUGAAUUGCUCCGGCCACGGCGAGUGUGACUCAUUCACGCGGCGCUGCGUCUGUCACCCUUUCUGGAUGGAGAAUUUCAUCAGAGCCCAGUUUGGAGACACAGAGAGCAACUGUGAGUGGAGCGUGCUCUAUGUGGUGAUAGCAUCCUUUAUGAUUGUGGUUGCUGCGGCAACACUUGUGUGGGGGAUAGUGUGCUGCUGCAACAGGCGUAAGAACAAAGUGCGCCGAAAUAAAAGCCGAUACAAAAUACUCGAAGCUGACGAGCAGGACUGUUUGGAGCUGCAACUGCCGAGAGCUGCCCGCCUGAAGCCAGUUCCUGCCCCCACCUCCUCUGCCCUCAUGCAUUCAGACUCUGACCUGGACAGCGAUGAAGGGCAGGGCGGAGUCCCGUGGAAGGACCAAGAGCGCGGGCAGCUCCUGCGGCCUCAGAACGGCUCCCUGAGGAACGGCCAGGGGCCGGCGAGGGCCAAGAAGCAAAGAGAGGAGCUCCUAUAGCAAGAGAGGAAGGGGGAGCUCACAGCUGCCCUCACACAGCUCUUCCCCUUCACUCUUCCUCUUUCUCCUUUGUUGUUCUUCAACAUGGAAACCUCGCACCUCUCGUCCACGAAGACAAGACUGUGAGAUACCAUGUGUUGGGGAGACGGAGAGAGGAGGAGAAAUGUGCUGGAACCAUGUUGUCCCACUGUCACAGAAACGACACCACUAGACUGAAGCUUCCCUGCGCCCACACUGAGCCAGUAUGAAGGGAAAAAGAAACUGCCGUUACACUGAGAACCAGGGGGAGACGUUCUUCUGUGAUGGUGGGAAGUUGAGAGGUUCAGCCAUAAACACAGGACAGCAUUAAAUAUGGAUAGGAGAAAAGUUGCAUUAAAGUUAUCCAGUAGAGAGAUACUAAUCAAAUAUAGGGUUGCAGUGGUAUGAAAAUCUUUGUUUUUUUUUUUCCUUCCAUGGACAUUUAUAUAUUUGUAGCAUGGCGUAAGAGGUGAUGCAACCUUACCUGCACACAACCUGCACCAACUACCAAUACAACACCAUCCUAAAAACUCUGAUCAGCCCAGCCAGCACUACCUCCUAAUGUCAGGACAAAACAGCUGUAUUAGACGUAACCCAGAGAAAUAUGCUAUUAAGAAAGAUUUCUGCAUUUAAUGGUAACAUUGUGAUUAAAAACAAGCACCGUCUCAGCUAUUGGCUGCUACAACAACACACUGAAAAAGUCAGAUGAGAAAAUAAAACGAAAGUGGUAGAAAUACCAAUUUAAGUUCAUUCAGUCGUUUGUCAGUCGUCAUAUUGAGAUAUUAUUAAUGCAUCAUAAAGAGCUGAAGGAUGCUGAGCGCUGGCAGUGGAUAUGGGCAGAUGUCAGUAAUGUAAGCCUCCGUGGUUCAGGCUCUAACUCUCAGCACGCUUCGUAGUAUGUUCACCACCCAGUGACCUGUAUCUGGAGACCAAUUAUCAGCCUUCAAAUUAGUGAGAGGCUGCAGCCAAAAAUGUGUCUCAACCCCAUUAAAGAAUCCAAAGUGGACAUGUGUUAUUGUUACAAGUGUAUAUAAAUACUGUGCAUAGAGGAUUAUGGCUGCCAGCGCCACUGGUAAUGAUGAAAUAAUUAAACAAAACUUCAUACCACUGGAACCCAAAGAAGAGGGUGUGAAAUUUUUUUACUUUUUAUCUUGAGGGAAAUUUUGCAGUUUCUGUAAAAUUACAGCAAACACUUCUGAUCAAUUGGCUUCCAAAGAGGGUGAGGACGCUUGUUUUUAAUGUUCCUUUUUCAAGAUGGAAGAACAGUGAACCCAUCUUUUAAAGAAAACGAAUGUUUAAAUCAAAAAGUCACAUGUCCGUAUAAACUGAAACAGGUUUCGCUGGAUACAAUGUUAUAAAUUUUUCUUAAGUCUGGCCAUAAAGUGAUUUUGUGGAGUUGGAGUCAAACUCCACAGGCCCUGUGCUGUGCAGAAAUAUAAGGCAGUGUUGUUUUGUAGCAAAUGUAAAAGUCAAAAUGUCAGCGUUCAAAUAGGUUUUACUAAACUUCCUUUCAGGAUACGAGUGAGCCGCGCGUCCGAUCGCAGAUGAAACUGCACUAAAUCCCAAAAACAAAUUAUUUCUUCCCACAGACAGGACACGAGCAGGAGGUUAAUCUGGAGGAUGUUUGCGUCCUCUUUGAGCAGAUUACCAGAAAUAAACCACAAACGGCGCUCAGCAGGAAGGCUUUGUUUGUGCAUCGGUAGUAAUCCGAGGUGUUUCUUGGCUGGACUGUACUGAGGGGGAAAACUUUAACGAACAGCUCUCCCGUGUAUCAUCUCACUUUGCAUGCGGAAUGUGAAACUGACCCGUUAGUCCUCAUCUGAAGUCACUUUUUUUGAUUUUUUUUUUUUUUUUGGUCGUUGUUGUUGAAUGUUAGAAGGGUACGUCGUUGAUUCAGUUCAUCCUUUACUCUGUGUGAAAUAAACAAUCAUUUCAAAUUCCUGCAAAAACAAACAAAAAAAAAAAUGUCUUUCUUACUGCUAAGUCAUCUCAUUGCACUUUGAGUGCUCAGACUGAGUAGAAAAGCGCUAUAUAAGAACUAGUCCAUUUACCAUUCAUGCCCAUGUUGGAUCUGCUGCACAAAAUGUAUUUUAUUCUCACCUGCUGAAUUUAUCGGGCCAUCGUUUGCGCUCCUGUAGGAGGCAAAUUAAAAUCAAGCGCACCCAAGUGCCAACUCUGUCAAAACACUUUGGAAUAAUUUCAUAUUAUCUUCAUGUUUUUUGGAACAGCAGCCAAAUUGUUCUGAUGUAUUCAUCUUUUUGUUUUGGUUUUUUUUUUGGUCUCCCAAAUUUCUUUUUUUACGGCCAUUUUCUUCCUGAUGGAUGACACACAAUUUUUCAUCUCUUCUGUUACAUUCGCCGUUUGUUUGGGAUUUUUAGAUGCAAGUGAACUGACCUCGACUCCCAAGAGUCCACUGUGAAGGCAGAGUCAAAAAUGAGGAGAAAAUGCUAAAUGAAAGGGGGAGUAUCUGCUUUUUUUUUUUUUUUUUUUGUUUUGUUUUGUUUUAAUAAAAUUUUAGUGAAGGAUAACCCCUGUUUUUGUUCUAUGAUCUGACCUGAUGCAACUGGAUAAUCUGUAAAAUUAAAAUAAAA